GUCACAUGGCUGAUUGGUAGCCAUUUUGCUGAAGUUAAAAAAAGACACUUGAACCGUCAUCUUGACUAAAGAUGACCACAUGGAAAUUAGAGGUUUCUGCUUCUGGCAGACACAUCUGAGUAUAUCAGUUGCUGACUACAGGCUGUUCCUAAAUAGACUUCGAGCCCUGGACUUGCUGUGGAUAUGAACCAGUCCAGCUGAUGUGGACACUGCCUGUCUCUGCAACAGAGUCUGCCAACAGCCCCUGAUGGAUUCCCCAUUGCAUAAAUUCCUUUUUUUUUUUUUUGCUUUUGACUAGCAUUUCAACCUUCUGGGGUCCCUAACUUCGUCCCAAAGUCAACAGGAAGUAGCAUGGGAAAGAGUACGCCGCCCAUUUUCCCUGGUUAAAAUGCUAAGUCAGAAGGAACUCCCUUGCAUGGGCAUGCCAAUAUCUCUCACUCCCUGAUGGGGGCGCUAGAGAGACAGCAAUUCCAUGAUUGGAAUCCCCCCCCCAAAAUAAUGGGGGAAUGAAGGGACCAGCUCCCCAUUUUGGCAGCCAUAACAGCUGAACACGUGCUUGUCUGACCUUGUCUUAGUCACUAAGGUCAGAUGCCCGCCCCUUUGGCAGCCAUAACAGCCAAACACGUGCUUGUCUGACCUUGUCCUAGUCACUAAAAAGUCAGAUGCCUGCCUUGUGACAAGGAACCAAUCAGAAGUUAGCUGGUGGCGCUAUGAUUUAUGGCUCUGGGUGUGCUUUAUGGACAAGUGCACAGCAAUGACGCACAGAGCAUAGCAACCACCCUGGGAAGGCCUAUGGGCCAUAACAACCAGUUGGCCAAUCAACAUAGGGCAAGCCCUCCAAGACUGGAGGCACACCAAUCCUGAGCCUGUGCAUACCCCUAGACACUCUCCUUACGCUGCCCUACAAGAUCUCUAUGCAGCCGGUUCGAGGUGUCUUUCCUAGCCAUCCGCCACGGCGGGUGGAUGAAAGGCCUGAGCUAACAUGGGGUUAGCUCGUUAAACUACAAUAAAGCCUUGUGCAGUUUGCAUCAAGCUUUCGAAUCUGUC
rnacentral:lncRNA from 1 species